rfam:Clunio marinus genome assembly, contig: CLTMA_scaffold_022865
GCCAGGUGCGGAGUUUGACUGGGGCGGUACAUCUCCAAAACAAUAACGGACGUGUCCAAAGGUCAGCUCAGUGUGGACAGAAACCACACGUUGAGGAUAAG